GAGACCUGGUGACAGGAGCCAUGAGGGGCCAGGCCUCAGGUCCCACAGCAGGGCUGGGAGCAUCCCCGGGGCAGGCGGAGGUCGGAGGUGGUGAGGCCUUUCGGCGAAGCUGAGGCCUGGAACAACCCGGUGGGAAGCCACGGAGGGGGUCCCCUAGCGGAGGCUGGGCGCGGGCCGGUGCGCGUGCGCGGCUGGAGGCUCAGCGCGCGAGCGUGCGCGUGAUUUGGCCCUGAACGGACGCCGUAGCCGAGAGGUUGGGCGGAUGUUGUGAACCGGGUCGCGGCGGCCGAGGCUCGGGCCUCCAGGACCACUGGCUGCCCAUGAGAGACGAAGGAUGGCAUCCAAGGGGGCCGGCGUGUCUUUCUCCCGCAAGAGCUGUAGGCUGACCUCAGAUGCUGAGAAAUCCAGGGUCACAGGCAUUGUGCAGGAGAAGCUGCUGAAUGACUACCUGAACCGCAUCUUUCCUCUUCUGACCAUGCACCCCCAGCAGCCACCGGCAGUUACUCGGGAGGCUGAGGCAGGAGAAUCGCUUGAACCGGAGAGGCGGACGUUGCAGUGAGCCGAGGUCAAACCAGUGCACUCCAGCCUGGGCAACAGAGCGAGACUCCAUCUGAAAAAGAAACAAAAAGAAAAAAAAAUUUUGGACCCGCUGCAGCUGGGAGGGGAGCUGUCCAGGAGGCCGGCCUGGGAAUGAGCACAGGCCUGCGGCUGGCAGAGAGCCGGGUCGAGCCAGCCCUGGAGAAGCAGGCCCAGCUGGAGGAGCAGCUGCGGGACAAGGUGCUCCACGAGAAGGACCUGUCCCAGCAGCAGAUGCAAAGCGACCUGGACAAGGCUGACCUCAGUGCCAGGAGGGUCCCUGGUGGGUGCUGCAUGAGGCAGGCGUCACUGCAGAAGAGUGACAGAGCUGGGCCUGGCAGUGAAGCGUCUACAGAAGCAGAAUCUGGAGAAGGAUCAGGUCGACAAGGACCUCACCGAGAAGCUUGAGGCCCUGGAAUCCCUGCGGCUACAGGAGCAGGCGGCCCUGGAGACAGAGGAUGGAGAGGGGCUACAGCGGAGCCUAAGGGACCUGGCACAGGCCGUCCUGUCUGACGCUGAGAGCGGCAGCCUGCGUCCAACAGCGUCCGACCGCAGCCUGCGGGGGCUCUCGGGCCAGCGGACCCCGUCUCCACCGCGGCGCUCCUCGCCGGGCCGAGGCCGUUCGCCCCGCAGAGGCCCCUCCCCGGCCUGCUCAGAAGACUCCACGCUCGCUUGCCCUGAUUCUCUCCGCCCUGCACUUUUGCCAGCUGAAGGUCCAGGGAGAAGAGCAACCUGGUCCACAGCCUGCAGGUGGCCCAGCAGCAGGCCGAGGAGCUGCCGCAGGAGCGGGAGAAGCUGCAGGUUGCCCAGGAGGAGCUGCAGCGCCAGCGGGACCGGCUGGAGGAAGAGCAGGAAGAGGCGGUGCAGAAUGGCGCACGGGUUCGCCGGGAGCUUGAGCGCAGCCAUAGACAACUAGAGCAGCUGGAAGGGAAGCGCUCAGUCCUGGCCAAGGAGCUGGUGGAGGUGAGGGAGGCGCUGAGCCGCGCCACGCUGCAACGGGACAUGCUGCAGGCCGAGAAGACCGAGGUGGCCGAGGCGCUGACCAAGGGUGAGGCUGGCCGCAUGGAGCUCGAGCUCUCCGUGACCAAGCUGAGGGCAGAGGAGGCCUCCCUGCAGGACUCCCUGUCCAAGCUGAGCGCCCUCAACGAGAGCCUUGCUCAGGACAAGUUGGAUCUGAACUGCCUUGUCACCCAGCUGGAGGAAGAAAAGGCCAUGCUGCAGGGCCGGCAGCGGCAGGCGGAGCAGGAGGCCACAGUGGCGCCGGCAGAGCAGGAGUGGCUGGAGGAGCUGUGGUUGGAGCAGGAGGUGGCACGGCAGGGCCUGGAGGGCUCCCUAUGAGUGGCGGAGCAGGCCCAGGAGGCGCUGGAGCAACAGCUCCCCACACUGCACCAUGAGCUCAGUUGGCUGCAGGAGCAGCUAGCACAGGCCUUGUCUCUGAAGGAGUCUGAGAAGAUGGCGCUGUCAGAGAAGUUGAUGGGUACACGGCACAGCCUGGCCACCAUCUCCCUGGAGAUGGAGCGGCAGAAACCAGAUGCCCAGAGCCGGCAGGAGCAGGACCGGGUAGGCCUGCCGUCGUAGGGAGGCUUGCGGAGCAGGAGCGCCCUCUCUCCACCGAGCUAUCCCGCGGUUUCCAGCAUCCCAUCUGGCGGACUCCUCUUCCUCUCUCUUCUCCUACUCUGGGUCUUCUAUCCUGGUGUUCCUUGAAUGCCUAUCUUCCUUUUGUGCCUCGGAACCUCUCACGCCUGCCACAAGUUACUCUUUUCCUUGGUAGUUCUGAACUUUAAAUAAGGUAAUGCCUGUAAGAAUGCCAUAAAUGCUCAAUAAUUGUCAUCUGUUAUUAUUUUCAUCAGUAACAUCAUCUGAAUCAUCAGUAUUGUCUGCUUUUAACAGCUGCAUUUUUCAUUGUCCAAAUAUAGUCACAUACAUUUGACCAUUUUAUAAUUAUUGAAUAAUAAAUUUGUUCUGCUAUUUUACAAUGAAAAAUAAUGCUGCAGAGAGCAUUUUUGCACAUGUAUCGUGGCAGAUGUAGGCCAGAGGCUCUUCUUUUAUCCAUCCUAUGGCCAACCUAUGAAUGUAUACACGUUUAAUGAGAUUUUGCCAGCAAUCAAAGCCUUCAGGGAAAAUGUCCCUAGCUCUUUACUACAUCAGAUCAAGGACUCUGGAUAAUUGGCAUAACAUCCUGGAAUAGCUGAAACAGAGAUAUUAUUCUCUGCUCUCCUCUGUUGUCUUUGUCUUUUCACGUCUUAAUAAAAGUGC
ensembl:lncRNA novel transcript